rnacentral:lncRNA from 1 species
UUGCAUAAACCUACGAAGAAAGGGUACAUUUGGAAGAACAACGUCAGAAUUAAUCAAAAUUGGAACUUUCUUACCUUUGUUGGCCGGAUUGGAUGGUUUAUGAGCUUUUGGGGCCUGUGGCAAAAGUGUUUCCACCCUUUCCGUGGGGGUACUUUGCUCCUUCUCUUCAAUUAUCAACUCUUCAACCUCAUUGGAAUGUGAUUUGGAAGGUUGGGGAUCAGAUCCAACUUGUUUU